rnacentral:misc_RNA from 1 species
GAUUAGACAUCUUUCUAGAGAAGGUUACUACAACUUACAAGCAAAGAGUAUGGAUUUACUUACCAAGAAUUUGAAGGAUUUCAAGAAGCAAGAACAAUGCGUUUGCAUGCAUACACUAAACACAAGCCUUGCAGUGAAACUGAAGGCAGUACAGACAAUACACCCCCUUUAAACUCUCCCCCCAUGCUUAAGUUACUUUCCG